rnacentral:rRNA from 1 species
CCGGAAGGGGAGUGAAACAGUUCCUGAAACCGUGUGCCUACAAGUAGUUAGAGCCCGUUAAGGGGUGAUAGCGUGCCUUUUGUAGAAUGAACCGGCGAGUUACGAUUUGUUGCAAGGUGAAGCGGAAAAAGCGGAGCCGUAGCGAAAGCGAGUCUGAAUAGGGCGCAUAAGUAACAGGUCGUAGACCGGGAACCAGGUGAUCAACCCAUGGCCAGGAUGAAGGUAAGGUAAUUCGUACUGGAGGUCCGAACCCACGCGCGUUGAAAAGUGCGGGGAUGAGGUAUGGAUGGCGGAGAAAUUCCAAUCGAACUUGGAG